rnacentral:tRNA from 1 species
GGAGAAGUGUCCGAGAGGCCGAAGGAGCACGCUUGGAAAGCGUGUAAGCGGGAAACUGCUUCGAGAGUUCAAAUCUCUCCUUCUCCGCCA